GCGGAGACGAAAGUUUCCGUUCACUCCUCACACCACACUCCGCCCAGAUGAAUUUGAUCUGGGCGGUU
rnacentral:sRNA from 1 species